AAUAUAUCAAAAUCUAAGUUAGUCCUUCCUCUAUUUAAUGCAAGUUAUUUCUCUUCAAAAGCUUCACUUGUUUAGAAGUUAUUACGAAUCAAACAGGAGUACUUUUUUUUGGGCCACCCGGUAUAUAUAUAUGUAUGUAUAUGUAUAUGUAUGUAUGUGUAUGUGUGUGUGUGUGUGUGUGUGUGUGUGUGUGUGUGUGUGUGUGUGUGUGUGUGUGUGUGUGUGUGUGUGUGUGUGUGUGUGUGUGCGUGCA